rnacentral:rRNA from 1 species
UACAGAGGUCUCAAGCGUUGUUCGGAUUCAUUGGGCGUAAAGGGCGCGUAGGCGGCGAGGUAAGUCGGGUGUGAAAUCUCAGAGCUCAACUCUGAAACUGCACUCGAUACUGCUUUGCUAGAGGACUGGAGAGGAGAUUGGAAUUCACGGUGUAGCAGUGAAAUGCGUAGAGAUCGUGAGGAAGACCAGUGGCGAAGGCGGAUCUCUGGACAAAUCCUGACGCUGAGGCGCGAAGGCUAGGGGAGCAAACGGG